rnacentral:rRNA from 1 species
GACGAACGCUGGCGGCGUGCUUAACACAUGCAAGUCGAACGGAAAGGCCCUGCUUUUGUGGGGUGCUCGAGUGGCGAACGGGUGAGUAACACGUGAGUAACCUGCCCUUGACUUUGGGAUAACUUCAGGAAACUGGGGCUAAUACCGGAUAGGAGCUCCUGCUGCAUGGUGGGGGUUGGAAAGUUUCGGCGGUUGGGGAUGGACUGGCGGCUUAUCAGCUUGUUGGUGGGGUAGUGGCUGACCAAGGCUUGGACGGGUAGCCGGCCUGAGAGGGUGACCGGCCACAUUGGGACUGAGAUACGGCCCAGACUCCUACGGGAGGCAGAAGUGGGGAAUAUUGCACAAUGGGCGGAAGCCUGAUGCAGCAACGCCGCGUGCGGGAUGACGGCCUUCGGGUUGUAAACCGCUUUCGCCUGUGACGAAGCGUGAGUGACGGUAAUGGGUAAAGAAGCACCGGCUAACUACGUG